CAGGCAGCCCUGUGGAGGGGCCCACUCUUGCCACAUGUGAGGGAGUCCCUGUGGGAGAGCUGUCCAGCUUCCAACAAGACUUCUGGGUAUGGCCCACACUACUACCCAUCUACAAGCUCAUGAGAAACUCAUCCUUAGGAAGCCACUACCCAAUUCCUGACCCACAAAACUGUCAGAGGAAGCUAUUAUUGUUGUAAGCUACUGGGUUUUGGAGUUAUCUGUUACAUGGUGAAACUGGGAAGAGGAGCGUGUCCAUGAUCCCUUUCUCAGCGUGCUUGUUACUCAUAUGGAUUGAGACUGGCUCAAACCAAAUCAAACCUAAGCACUGAGAUAAGCGUAGUAGAGAAGGGUUCGGUGGAGCUGGAAGAUGGCUGAAGGCCAAGAGUUUGCACAGAACAAGCACAAGGACCUAAGUUCAGACAGCUGGCACCCAAGUCAGACACGGUGGUGUCUGUAAUCUCAGCACUGGGGAGGAGGCCACAGGAGGAUGCCCAGCGAUUGGCUGGCCAGUUUGUCAAGUCACGGGGUAAGCUGCAAGUUCAG